ACCUGGAUCUGCAGGCCCUCUACUUUGCACUCAUGUCAGACUCCAUCGAAAAGUGGAUGAUGCCUCACAUCAGCAAAGGGGAUGCCCAAGGAGGGCCCACGGCUUGGAGAAGAGGGGCGGCAAGGAGGAGGACAUGCCAAGGGGAGGGGCACCCCACUAGCUCUCAUGCCUCUUUUUCUCUUUCUCUCUUUUCUCACUUUGAUUUCUAUGCAUCCAUAGGUAGAGACUCUCUCUAUUUAUAGAUGAUUCUUAUGACCUAAUAAGAAUAGGACUCCUAAUUCAAACAAGCUUUGAAUCAAUCUACAACUUAUCAAAGGAGGACUCCUACA
rnacentral:lncRNA from 1 species